AUUGAACGCUGGCGGCAUGCCUUACACAUGCAAGUCGAACGGCAGCGCGGGAGCAAUCCUGGCGGCGAGUGGCGAACGGGUGAGUAAUAUAUCGGAACGUGCCCAGUAGUGGGGGAUAGCCCGGCGAAAGCCGGAUUAAUACCGCAUGAGACCUGAGGGUGAAAGCGGGGGAGUCGCAAGACCUCGCGCUAUUGGAGCGGCCGAUAUCAGAUUAGCUAGUUGGUGGGGUAAAGGCCUACCAAGGCAACGAUCUGUAGUUGGUCUGAGAGGACGACCAGCCACACUGGGACUGAGACACGGUCCAGACUCCCACGGGAGGCAGCAGUAGGGAAUAUUGGACAAUGGGCGCAAGCCUGAUCCAGCCAUGCCGCGUGAGUGAAGAAGGCCCUCGGGUUGUAAAGCUCUUUUGUCCGGAAAGAAAAGCACUGGGUUAAUACCCCGGUGUCCUGACGGUACCGGAAGAAUAAGCACCGG
rnacentral:rRNA from 1 species